rnacentral:rRNA from 1 species
GACAGAGGUGCCGAGCGUUAGGCGGAAUCACUGGGCUUAAAGCGUGUGUAGGCGGGUCGUUAAGUGUCUUGUGAAAUCCCCCGGCUCAACCGGGGAAUGGCUGGGCAUACUGGCGAUCUUGAGCAGUCUAGGGGCAGAUGGAACAAGUGGUGGAGCGGUGAAAUGCGUAGAUAUCGUCUGGAACGCCGAAGGUGAAAACAGCUCGCUGGGGUUGUGCUGACGCUGAGACACGAAAGCCAGGGGAGCGAACGGG